rnacentral:snRNA from 1 species
UCGCUUCAGCAGCACAUAUACUAAAAUUGGAAUGAUACAGAGAAGAUUAGCGUGGUCCCUGUGCAAGGAAAUUCCCUUUUUUGAUCUUUGUUCUUUCUGG